AAUGAACGCUGGCGGCGUGCCUAAUACAUGCAAGUCGAGCGAACGGAGGGGAAGUUCUCCUGUAUGCUGUUAGCGGCGGGUGGGUGAGGCCUACGUGGAUAACUUAUCUUUAAGACUGGGAUCCCUUCAGGGGCCCUGAGCUAAGAUCGGACAUUAUUUUGAACCGGAUGGUUCUUAAGUGAAAGACGGUCUUGCUGUGACUUAUAGAUAGAACCGCGCUGCAUUAGCUAGUGGGUAAGGUAACGGCUUACCAAGGCGACGAUGCAUAGCCGACCUGAGAGGGUGAUCAGCCACACUGGAACUGAGACACGGUCCAGACUCCUACGGGAGGCAGCAGUAGGGAAUCUUGCGCAAUGGGCGAAAGCCUGAUGGAGCAACGCCGCGUGAGUGAAGAAGGUCUUCGGAUUGUAAAGCACUUUAAGUUGGGAGGAAGAGAAGUGUGAUAAACUGUUCACAUCUUGACGUUACCAAAACAAUAAGCCACGGCUAACUUCGUG
rnacentral:rRNA from 1 species